rnacentral:lncRNA from 12 species
UGUGAGGAAUGAAAUAUGCGAUAGAAAUGUUAAAGUCUGGCUACACUGUCCUUCAGAGACGCGUGUCUUAAGGCGAGCCCCGAUGGAGCGUGGAUGUCUGUCCCCUUCGGAGAACGCUCUUUGGUAAAUGAAAGACAACCACCGUCUAUCCAACGUAGGUGCUCAGAAAUGCAGAAGUAAUCUUCAAUGGGAGAGCGGCUUCCUUCAACUACAUCUACAAAUACCAUUUGAGGGAAUACUUUUGGCCGGAAUUAUGGUCCCAUUGGAGCCACAGCGUCACAGAACUUUAGAGAUGCAGGAGACCAUGUAGCUCAAUUCCCUCAUUUGUCAUAUGAGUAGCAGAAAGCAGGCUGCCUUCCUGUGAGAGAGCAUGGACAAAUGAAAGGGGAUCCAUGUGCUCUUAUAUUUACAGUAAAUGUGGGCCCAGUUUACUGACUUACCAGAACCGUUUUGCAGCAGUGCCAAGGUUCAUCCUCAAGUCUUCUGAAACUGAGGUCAGUUCUCCUUACCCACAACCCGCUUGUUUACCCUAAUUUUAUUGUAUCAUUGAAACCAUAUCUUAACUGUAAAAAAAAAUCAAAUAAAAAUGUUUCUGUGAAUUUACUGUGUUCCA